rnacentral:rRNA from 1 species
GUGGGGAAUCUUGCGCAAUGGGCGAAAGCCUGACGCAGCCAUGCCACGUGGAUGAUGAAGGUCUUAGGAUUGUAAAAUCCUUUCACCGGUGAAGAUAAUGACUGUAGCCGGAGAAGAAGCCCCGGCUAACUUCGUGCCAGCAGCCGCGGUAAUACGAAGGGGGCUAGCGUUGCUCGGAUUUACUGGGCGUAAAGGGCGCGUAGGCGGACAUUUAAGUCAGGGGUGAAAUGCCGGGGCUCAACCUCGGAACUGCCUUUGAUACUGGGUGUCUUGAGUAUGAGAGAGGUGUGUGGAACUCCGAGUGUAGAGGUGAAAUUCGUAGAUAUUCGGAAGAACACCAGUGGCGAAGGCGACACACUGGCUCAUUACUGACGCUGAGGCGCGAAAGCGUGGGGAGCAAACAGGAUUAGAAACCCUAGUAGUCC